UAGAUUCUCAGUUUCUUUUCUAGAUUCUAACACUUUCUUUUCUAGAUUCUAACACUUUCUUUUCUAGAUUCUAACACUUUCUUUUCUGGAUUCUAACACUCUUUACUUCAUUUGGUUCUUUUACGUUCUAAACCAAGUGAGAAUCAAAUGAGGUAAAGAACCCAAAAGAGAUCGAAGAGGUAAAGGGACAAAAAGAGAUAAAGAACCUACAAGAGGUAAAGGAGGUAGAAAAGGUAAAGGGACGAAAAGAGGUAAAGAACAUAAAAGAGGUAAAGAACCUAAGAGGUAAACGAGGUAGAACAGGCAAAGAAAGUAAAAGUGAUAAAGGACCUAAAGAGGCCAAGGAGGUAAAAGAGGUAAAGAACCUAAGAGGUAAACGAGGUAGAACAGGCAAAGAAAGUAAAAGUGAUAAAGGACCUAAAGAGGCCAAGGAGGUAAAAGAGGUAAAUAACCUAAAAGGUAAAGGAGGUAGAAGAGGUAAAG